GCUAACUCUGUGUCGGGAGCCGGGGGAAUACAGGGGGUGAAAGCGGUAAUCGGAAGUACUGGGCGUAAAGCGAACGUUGGUGGCUGGGUAAGUUGGGUGUGAAAUCCCCGGGCUUAACUUGGGAAUUGCAUUCAAGACUGCCGUGCUAGAGUGUGGAAGAGGGAAGCGGAAUUCCAGGUGUAGCGGUGAAAUGCGUAGAUAUCUGGAGGAACAUCAGUGGCGAAGGCGGCUUCCUGGUCCAACACUGACACUGAGGUGCGAAAGCGUGGGGAGCAAACAGGAUUAGAUACCCUUGUAGUC
rnacentral:rRNA from 1 species